rnacentral:lncRNA from 7 species
GUAAACUAUAUACAUUACUGAGCAGCCGGACAGCGGGACGGGCAAAGUACAAAGCUGCAGGAUCUCUUGCUAGCUUCUCCUCCUCCUUUGUUUAUUCCAGGAUCUAUUGCUUUUUUUUUUACUUGCCGAGGCUAUCCGCAAGCUUCUAUUUCUAGCAUGUCGCAAAAGCUGAUACCUUUAAACUUUCAAAAGAAAAAGUUAAGGGCUUUUACCCCCUUUUUUUGUAUGAUUUUUGCGCACGCAGACAGUAUGGGGCGCCCUAGCCCCUCCCGACUCUUUCUUUAAAAAAAGAGAGACUGAUAGCCGAUGCGAUUCAGAUCGGCGUCUCAGGGUCAGAGAGGUACGAAAGAUAGAUGGCAGGAGCAAGAAGACAGUUCGACAGCAUAUUCUAUUCUGAUCCAGUGUGUCUUUGCCACAGAAAUUUGGUUUGGGGGUCCUCUCUAUGGUCGACCUGCAGGCCUUAGGUCCUGACCCAG